CUCCACCCUUAAGCGGACAACAUGGACUUAAGCCAAACUUUAGCUUCGGACCAAACUUUAGCGAUUAUAUAUGUUCCCUUUAAGAUUACAGCGAUGUUGUGGCCAUUUUUGUAAACACGAGGGUCCUUGUUUCAACACAGGCUACUGCUGUUGCCCUGGAAGACGGAGACGGGGGCGGGGCGAAGCGGUUGAGGCAAGCAGACAAGAACUGAGCUCCUUUUCGCCCCGUUCACUUGAACGGACACGCACCACCUCGGUUUAC